rnacentral:lncRNA from 1 species
GUUUGUCUCUUGUGCUCCUCUGAAAGUUAGCGUGUCGUGAGCAGCUGCUCAGAGGGCCUAGCAAUGAUUAUGAACCUCGCCUACAAAGGGGCAAUUUUAGGAAAUUUGGAUUGUGAGAUCAAUAUUUUAAAAAUUAAAACAUUUAUAAAAGCUAUAUAAACUAAUGCAUAAUAUUAAUUCUUGAUAGAUUGAUGUAUAUGUUAAAUAUAAGACUAUUACAAAACUAUUACAACAAUAACUAAAAGAAAAGGUACAUCAAAUAAAUUCGAAUAAUGCGUACCUCUUUGCCAAUGUUGUUAAAAACAUCUUUCUCAAUAUAUGUAAUCAAACAAUCAUUCAUCCAUUGAUCUUCAAUUUGAGUCCUCAAACAAAUUUUCAAAAUUUUCAUUGUAGCACCUGGCAAAAUCAAUGCUAACUUAACCAGACAAUAUACAAAUGGAUAAAACAUGUUCUUUUUUGUAUAAACCUUAUUAUUAGCAAGAUCUUGAAUUCCUUUCAAAUUUGAGAACUCCCUGUUUGGUUGCAUGACAAUAAUGUAUGUCUCUAGUUGGUUAUCAAGUGCAAGAACAUCAAUUGGAGAAAAAUCAAAUGAAUAUAUUUGACUUAAAUGAAUCAACUUUUGUUUGUCAAAAGAUACAAUAAAACUUGAAAAGGAAAGAAAGUUGUUACCAAAUUAAGGAAACUCGCUUGAAAGUAUUAAAAGAUUGAUCACCUUUUUUGAUGAAAUUUUAGAGAAUAAGAGAUAUAGAGAGAAAAGUGAAGAGUGUUAAAAGAAAAUAAAAAUGGUUAGAGAUUUUUGGGAGUUUGGGUGGAGAGAGAUUCAUUUAUUUUUAUAGAAUAUAAUUAUUUUUCAAAAAUUUCGGUGAGUCAAAUUUUUUGUGGGUCAAUUUUUUUAUGGGUCAUUUUUACAAUUUUGUGGGGUCAAUUAUAUAAAAUUAAAAAAUAAUUAUAACUAAUUUUUUUCUCUUUUUUUUGUGUAUGAGGUCAAUUGACCCCACAACCAUUCAAGUCGCUUCGUCAUUGCACCUACACGCGAUCCUUACAUCCAACCAUGGUGCCGCUUGGGUUAUAAGCCUCAGGUGGGUGAUUAGAGUCUCAGCACGCCUUGGUGAACUCCAUAAUUAUUUGCACGUCCUAUAUUAACAUAUCUCCCUAGAGCUUUGUAGGUAUCAUUAACCAAAGUGCUCUCGGCUCUGCGAACCAGGUCUUUGAGAAGUCGCUCAUGGCACAUUAGUUCUUGCCAAAGUAUGAGAGACAACACCCUAAUUGGGGAACAAUACUUUC